rnacentral:rRNA from 1 species
UACGGAGGGGGCAAGCGUUGUUCGGACUCACUGGGCGUAAAGCGUGCGUAGGCAGUGUGGUGCGUCGGGUCUGAAAGCGCCCGGCUUAACUGGGAGGCGGGGGACGAUACGAUAGCGCUAGAGUGAGGGAGAGGUGAGUGGAAUUCCUGGUGUAGUGGUGAAAUGCGUAGAGAUCCGGAGGAAUGCCGGUGGCGUAGGCGGCCAACGAGACCGUUCCUGACGCUGAGGCACGAAAGCGUGGGGAGCAAACCGG